rnacentral:rRNA from 1 species
UACGUAGGGGGCUAGCGUUGUCCGGAAUCAUUGGGCGUAAAGAGCGUGUAGGCGGCUCGGUAAGUCCGCUGUAAAAGUCAAAGGCUCAACCUUUGAAUGUCAGUGGAUACUGCCGGGCUAGAGUCCGGCAGAGGCGAGUGGAAUUCCCGGUGUAGCGGUGAAAUGCGCAGAUAUCGGGAGGAACACCUAUGGCGAAGGCAGCUCGCUGGGACGUUACUGACGCUGAGACGCGAAAGCGUGGGGAGCAAACAGG